ACGAACGCUGGCGGCGUGCCUAAUACAUGCAAGUCGAGCGAAGUUUUUCUGGUGCUUGCACUAGAAAAACUUGGCGGCGAACGGGUGAGUAACCCGUAAAGAACCUGCCUCAUAGCCUGGGACAACUAUUGGAAACGAUAGCUAAUACCGGAUAACAGUAUUUCUCGCAUGAGAGAUAUUUAAAAGUUGGUUAUGCUAAACCUAUGGGUUGGCUUUGCGGUGCAUUAGCUAGUUGGUGGGGUAAAGGCCCACCAAGGCGACGAUGCAUAGCCGACCUGAGAGGGUGAUCGGCCACACUGGGACUGAGACACGGCCCAGACUCCUACGGGAGGCAGCAGUAGGGAAUCUUCCGCAAAGGGCGAAAGCCUGACGGAGCAACGCCGCGUGAGUGAAGAAGGAUUUCGGUUCGUAAAGCUCUGUUGUUAGGGAAGAAUGGAUAUGUAGUAACUAUACAUGUAAGAGACGGUACCUAACCAGAAAGCCACGGCUAACUACGUG
rnacentral:rRNA from 1 species